CUAUACAUGCAGUCGAGCGAAUGAUGAAGAAGCUUGCUUCUUCUGAUUUAGCGGCGGACGGGUGAGUAACACGUGGGCAACCUACCUAGUAGAUUGGGAUAACUCCGGGAAACCGGGGCUAAUACCGAAUAAUCCAUUUCACCUCAUGGUGAAAUGCUGAAAGGCGGUUUCGGCUGUCACUACUAGAUGGGCCCGCGGUGCAUUAGCUAGUUGGUGGGGUAAUGGCCUACCAAGGCAACGAUGCAUAGCCGACCUGAGAGGGUGAUCGGCCACAUUGGGACUGAGACACGGCCCAAACUCCUACGGGAGGCAGCAGUAGGGAAUCUUCCACAAUGGACGAAAGUCUGAUGGAGCAACGCCGCGUGAGUGAUGAAGGUUUUCGGAUCGUAAAACUCUGUUGUAAGGGAAGAACAAGUACGUUAGUAACUGAACGUACCUUGACGGUACCUUAUUAGAAAGCCACGGCUAACUACGUGCCAGCAGCCGCGGUAAUACGUAGGUGGCAAGCGUUGUCCGGAUUUAUUGGGCGUAAAGCGCGCGCAGGUGGUUUCUUAAGUCUGAUGUGAAAGCCCACGGCUCAACCGUGGAGGGUCAUUGGAAACUGGGAGACUUGAGUGCAGAAGAGGAAAGUGGAAUUCCAAGUGUAGCGGUGAAAUGCGUAGAGAUUUGGAGGAACACCAGUGGCGAAGGCGACUUUCUGGUCUGUAACUGACACUGAGGCGCGAAAGCGUGGGGAGCAAACAGGAUUAGAUACCCUGGUAGUCCACGCCGUAAACGAUGAGUGCUAAGUGUUAGGGGGUUUCCGCCCCUUAGUGCUGCAGCUAACGCAUUAAGCACUCCGCCUGGGGAGUACGGCCGCAAGGUUGAAACUCAGAGA
rnacentral:rRNA from 1 species